UCGCAUUGGUCUCAAAACAAUGACAUGCAUUUUGAAGACCAUGAGUUCGAGGUGGACGAAGAGGGUGAGGGCAUUGUCGACGCACCGAAAGGAAGAGCGGGCAAUUUCACCAACGCCGAUGACAUCUUACUAUGCAAUACUUUGUUGCAAGUGUCGAGGGAUCCAUCCGUUGAAGGUGAUCAAAGUAGAGAUGCUUAUUGGAACCGGAUGAGGGAACACUUUGAUGCUCGCAACGUGAGUGGAAUUGACCGCUCCAACCGAUCACUUAGGUCCCGGUGGGCGACAAUCAACUCGGAUUGUCAAAGGUGGGCGGCCUGUCAAAAGGCGGUUGACAAG
rnacentral:rRNA from 1 species